GCUAUACAAAUAAAAAUGAAUUGAAUUGAAUACAGUGUAGUGUAUGAAUAAAACACUGAAAGAUAGGUACUU